rnacentral:rRNA from 1 species
GAUGAACGCUGGCGGCGUGCCUAAUACAUGCAAGUCGAGCGAACGGACGAGAAGCUUGCUUCUCUGAUGUUAGCGGCGGACGGGUGAGUAACACGUGUAUAACCUACCUAUAAGACUGGUAUAACUUCGGGAAACCGGAGCUUAUACCGGAUAAUAUUUUGAACCGCAUGGUUCAAAAGUGAAAGACGGUCUUGCUGUCACUUAUAGAUGGAUCCGCGCUGCAUUAGCUAGUUGGUAAGGUAACGGCUUACCAAGGCAACGAUGCAUAGACGACCUGAGAGGGUGAUCGGCGACACUGGAACUGAGACACGGACAAGAGUACUAAGGGAGGCAGCAGUAGGGAAUGUUACGCAAUAGGCGAAAGCCUGACGGAGCAACGCGGAGUGAGUGAUGAAGGUCUUCGGAUCGUAAAACUCUGUUACUAGGGAAGAACAUAUGUGUAAGUAACUGUGCACAUAUUGACGGUACCUAAUAAGAAAGCCACGGCUAACUACGUG